UACGUAGGUGACAAGCGUUAUCCGGAAUUACUGGGCGUAAAGCGCACGCAGGCGGCUGCGUAAGUCUGACGUGAAAUCUCUCGGCUUAACCGGGAGCGGUCGUUGGAAACUAUGCGGCUUGAGGCGAUGAGAGGGGUGUGGAAUUCCCGGUGUAGCGGUGAAAUGCGUAGAUAUCUGGAGGAAUACCGGUGGCGAAGGCGGCAUCCUGGACCAUUACUGACGCUGAGGCGCGAAAGCUAGGGGAGCAAACGGG
rnacentral:rRNA from 1 species